GGCACAAAGGAAGUCGGCCAUACUGGGAAGGUCACUCAAAGAAGGACCAGUGCACAAGUCGGCAGCCAUGCGGAGAAGGGCAACAUAAGCGGAUCGUCCCCGUAAGACGAGCAUAGAGUGGCGGUGCUUUUCCUGCCCUUCUGAACUGCGGGGCUUCGCUUCUCGGCCUCCGCCAUUCUGGGUAAAAGCGGAGGAAGGGGGGGGAUAUGAGAAUUGUCACUGGGUUGCCCUCCCUGAUUUGCUUUUCCCCCUAAACAAUAAAACAUCAUUGUCCGUAAAAAGCAUUUUUACCUUUCCCCACCCCCCCUAUACUUCGGUAAAUCGUUCCUUUUCCCGUUGGCUAUUUGCUUGCUGAUGGACCGUCUUCCUCACUUGGAUAACCUCCACUUACAACCGUUCCUUUAGUGACUGCUUAGUUACGACUGCGCUAAAGAAAGUGACCUAGACUUUUUCACAGACUGCUGUGGCAUCCCCACAGUCAGGUGAUAGAAAUUGGGAUGCUUGGUGCCUGGUGUGCUCGUGGAAUCCCCUUUUGGGUCUUGCCUACCGAGAAAAAAAAUGGGACUCUGUUGUCAUAAGUCGAGACUACCUGUAGGUUAGACAUGGAACUGGGUGGUGCUUUUUGAAGGUCUUAGAAAGAAAACAAUUUAUGUAAACGUGGGCAGUUGGCCAAGUCCCAGGCUCUACUGCUUUCCUAGGGAUGCAAAGAAUUAAUACCUCAUCUAUUAUCGGUAACUAUGCAGCCGUUAUUUUCCCCUUUCUAAAUCUAUAAAUAACUGUCUGUCUCUUUUGCUUGUGGGCUUCCCUUCCACACAUACUGGUUCCGUAAUAAACGCUGCGGAAAACCUGACGGAGCAGGAGAGUCGGUCUCUACAUCAGCUCAAAUUAAAAAGGAAAAGUGGGACGGGUGAGGUGCAGCUCUUCAAAAUGCUUCCUGCUGAAAAACGGACAUCCCGAUUACCGGGAACCUGGCAUUGUCUCAAAACCCAGGCCCCUGAACAUGCGUGGAACCAAAGUCCUAUUCCUCAAAUUUGGGAGAGAAAACGUACACCUUUACCUUUGUGAAAGGGGCUUCCCGGUCUCCUGAAAAUACAAAUUGCUAAGAAAUUCAGGCAGAGCUAAAAGUGUUCAUCAAGGGCGGGUUGAGUCUUUUUAUAGUGUAAAGAAACAACUGAUACGUACAUUGGGUAUGUGCGUCAAUAAGGAAAGGAUCAAACGAUAUGGGUUGCCUGUGAAGUUUAUUCGACAAAGUAUUCCUUCUCAAUAACUUGGUUAAGCUACUCUCUACCGCUUAGGUCUGCAUCUUUCUUGAAAUGUGCGAGUACUUUCGUGAUAUGCUUUCUAUUGUAUACUUGCAUAAAAGGCAAGUCCUCGUAUACCGAUUUUUUUAAAACAAACUGGUCCAGAUUUUUACUUUUUGAAGAAAUGACCUAGGACUUUCAUUAUAGCAUUGAAGCUAUUGUACACCUUUUAAACUUGGUUUAAGUCUUUUGAAACUGGAUUCCUUCUUCUGUGUCUGUGUUACAGCCCGUGAUACUCUUGCUGCAUUAUUGUUAAUAAGCAUUAAUAACAAAGAUACAGAAUAAUAAACUUAAAAUCCCAUUAAAAAGGAAUUUUGGUGGCUGCUAUUCCUUUUUGGACCAUAGGAUGGCGCUGUUUUCCGUUCCCCGUGGUCUGCAGAAUAGGUACACAAGAACCACGUUGUCAGCCUCCGCCUUUACUGCUUUGGCUGCCAUAGUAACAGGAGGGGGGAGAGCUGGGUAGCAUGGGGGGGAGCGUGCUGGAGGAAUUGAAAGCGAUAGUUAAGCCAUAGGACUGUAUCUUUGAAGCUGCCGUCAGGUCAACGGUCGUGGCAUUCCUGAUUGAUGACGCUGCCAGAUGUGUGCUUCCACCUGACCCCUGGAUUGGAUGAUUUACGGUGGACAGUGGGAGGGGAUGCUUUCUAUAUGCAAUUUUCACGCUUAUUGCCUUAGAUUCUGCUUUCCUUUGGUUGCGUUCACUGCAUUUUCUAGUAAAAGUACCUUUCUCUAUAAACAAUGGAGUUUGGGUCAUUCUUUCCUGGACUUUGAAGGAAGCACACCUGACAUUAAGCAGAAUCUCUUCUCCAGCCAUCCUGGAUAAACACCGAGGGGGCUGAACCCAAAAUAUGUCUGACCAAGAGAGUGAAGGAGACCAGAGGGGAGCUUCUGGCUCUACUAUAACUUCACUUCAAGCAGAGAAGGAAGCUGCAGAAUGGAUGGAAAAAAGUCGGCUGAGAGAGGAGCCAGAGGAAGCUAGAUGGUUGAGGGGAGUAGGAAAGUUGCCGGACCUGGGGAGGACCCCCCAAGGAGUAACCAGCUCCAGACCUCGUAUGGGAGAGGCGGUGUGGCUGCAAGAGCAAAAGGAGAGCCUCAUGAUUGCUCAGGCGAUGCAACUCCUCCGCGAUGCCGAGGAAAGCCGGAAAAACCAUUGAGAGCAAAGUCUAAAGUCCAGCUGAAAUGCUUACGGGAUCUCCUCUUCGCUGAUGAUGCUGCCGUCACUGCUCACUCUGCUGAAGACCUUUAACAACUUAUGGACGGUUUUAGCAAGGCCUGCCAAGACUUUGGACUAACAAUCAGCCUGAAAAAAAACACAAGUCAUGGGUCAGGACGUGGAUUCACCUCCCUGUAUUACAAUCUCUGCACAAGAACGGGAGGUCGUCCAUGACUUUGUGUACCUCGGCCCAACUAUCUCUGACACUCUCUCUUUAGAUACUGAGCUGAAUAAACGUAUUGGUAAAGCGGCCACCACAUUUUCCAGACUUACAAAGAGAGUAUGGCUUAAUAAGAAGCUGACUCAACAUACAAAGAUCCAGGUCUAUAGAGCCUGCGUCCUCAGCACACUCUUGUACUGCAGUGAGUCUUGGACCCUCAACGCACGGCAGGAGAGAAAGUUGAACACCUUUCAUAUGCGCUGUCUCCGACAAAUUCUUGGCAUCACCUGGCAGGACAAAGUUCCAAAUAGCGCAGUCUUGGAAUGUGCUGGAAUUUCUAGCAUGUAUACACUAUUGAAACAGCGACCAUGAGAGAGAUGGUACAAUUAAUGGACAGAGUGGCAAGAUCAGAGAGUCAAUGCCCAGUGGUGGCACAGCCAGAACAUUAGAGCCUAGGAAGAUUCUGCAGUAAGCUGGAAGCAAGGAAAAGCAACGGCAACAUCAAAGUCAAGGAAGGGAACAAAACCAUCAGACAGGCGGUAUACUUGAGCCACAAAGAGUGGCAAGAUUAGAGAGUCCAUGCCCAGUAGUGGUACUGCCAGAAUCCAGGCAUCCCAGCACUCGGAAUAUCAAAACCUGAGAAGAUGCUGCUGGUAAGAAGGCGGCAAGGAAAAGCGGUGGCGCCACCAAAGGAAGGGAAACAAAAAUUUCAAAAGGACCGCUUUCCUUAAAUAGUCUUAGGAAAGCAGUGCCAGCUUUCCAUUCAAAGGUCCCCUCAGAUUCCAACACAUAAAAAGAGGAAAGCUAUCUCCCACCCAUCCUCCUUCCUUCCCUGCUAGAGCCAGAUUCUGCCUCCCACCGUGACUCCAGGCUUCACUCUAUUCUAUGCCCUCCUCCCCCAUCUCACUCUAUCGUGGAAAGAAGCAAAUUCUUCACCAGGCGUUUGGAAACUCCCUUUCUCAGGUUCCAUGAUAACAGCAGCAAGAUCUGCAGUGAUCUAGGGCAGCUCUUUCCUUAAUCCCUGAAACACGCGGGUGUAAUUGUCUUCUGAGGAAGACUCCAGCCAAAUGCCUUUUUUUCUCCUUUGAAAACAAAAGUUAUUCUCAACCUUUCAAAUAGAACUCAGGGAACCACAAUGACCUUCUCGCUUCUGCCUCUCCCAGAAGACACCAACUGAUGUGGAGUCCUGUUGGGAAAAGUCUAGUUUUUUAGGGCUUGAGAGGCAGUUAUCUACAUCACUGGUUCAGUGGCGCUCGUUUAGAAAUGUAACAAAACACCAACUCCUUACCUUUAAACUCCAAGCUCUCGUUCUCCCCCCCGCACAAAGAAUAGGAUAGUUAUCUUGGCAGUAACAUGCUCGACUCUUUCUCUUUCCCAAAAGGGAGGCUGAUGUAACGUCUUCUCGGCAGAACUCUACCUGCAUUCAUCAAGCAGACCGGUUCUAGAAAAUGGAAGAAAUGGGUGUUAUACGGGCAGCUUUUUUCACCAAAAGGGGGCAAAAGAAAAGACAAAGUCAAAACAUCUACUGAAGUUGCCCCUAUGUUUGCGGACAUGGCGUCGCAGAACAAAAGCAUCUUCUGAAAGUCCUGUCCUGCUGGGCACAUUCAGAGAGGUGGGUGCCAAGCCACUGAAGGUGUCAAAGGGUGAUAUUAGGACCUUUUCUUCUCUCGGAAGGCUGAGGAUAGCCGGUGGGUGCAAAAUUCAUGGUUGUCUGACAAUUCACGGACCAAGUUGUUGUGGAUUGCACAAGUAGCGUUUACUGGACAGUUCUGUCACUUGACAAUUGUAUGGUGUAUCCUUUUAAUUGAGAGGCAUGGAGAACUUUAGCAGAGUCCAGCUGGUCAACAUCAUUUAAUAGUGCCUUUUGCAUAAAGGUGUUUUUGAUGUAGCUGCUGCUUGGAUAAAUGCACCUUAGUGCUUCCUUCCGUGCAGACCUAGGCCUCCAAGGUCACCCCCGCAAGCUUCAGGAGGAUUGCUCUUUUUCUUGCACUAAAUGAAAACAGAAAUGCAGGCUAAUUUUUCACAAGAAUGUGUGAUGUUUCCCUUGAUUUAUCCACUGUUCUUCAUUUGUACAUUGCACUCUCUAUGCUAUGCCUCAAGACCUACCAAAGUGACUUUUCUCCCUCACCGACAUUUUCGUCGCUUUGCUCAGACUUUCUGCAAGCCACCUGAAUGAUUUUCUCCUUCCUUGCUAAUUAUAUAGAAUUAUUUGUACUUUUCCUUAAUUCCAUGAAGUAUAAAGGUGUGUGGUUGCCAAAUGUGCAACAACAAUUAAUAGCAUGCAAAUAAACAAAACCUGUUAUACCCUGAAA